rnacentral:tRNA from 1 species
GCAGGUAUAAUUCAGUGGUAGAAUGUAUCGUUGCCAACGAUAAUGUCAAGGGUUCAAGUCCCUUUACCUGCU